rnacentral:rRNA from 1 species
GGCUAUACCUUGCUACGUCACCUUCUGUACCGGUACGGCUGGGGAGGGGAGACUCCCAGACGGGUUGAAGCAUGACCGUAAGGACAUGUGGACAGUAUGGGAGUGAGAAUGUUGGCAUGGGUAGCGAGAUGUGGGUGGGAAUCCCACAGGCCGUAAACCCAAGGUUUCCAGGGGAAGGUUCGUCC